UACGGAGGGGGCUAGCGUUGUUCGGAAUUACUGGGCGUAAAGCGCACGUAGGCGGCUUUGUAAGUUAGAGGUGAAAGCCCGGGGCUCAACUCCGGAAUUGCCUUUAAGACUGCAUCGCUAGAAUUGUGGAGAGGUAAGUGGAAUUCCGAGUGUUGAGGUGAAAUUCGUAGAUAUUCGGAAGAACACCAGUGGCGAAGGCGACUUACUGGACACAUAUUGACGCUGAGGUGCGAAAGCGUGGGGAGCAAACAGG
rnacentral:rRNA from 1 species